GACGAACGCUGGCGGCGUGCUUAACACAUGCAAGUCGAACGAAGUGGCGAACGGGUGAGUAACGCGUAAUCAACCUGCCCUUCAGCGGGGGACAACAGUUGGACACGACUGCUCAUAACGCAUACUGCAGGUGGGGAUUCCAUCUGAUUAGCUAGUUGGAGGGGUAACGGUCCACCAAGGCGAUGAUCAGUAGCCGGUCGGAGGGGAUGAACGGACAAAGUGGGACGGAGACACGGGCCAGAGUCCUACGGGAGGCAGCAGUGGGGAAUAUUCCGCAAUGGAGGAAAGUCUGACGGAGCAACGCGGCGUGAGGGAUGACGGCCUUUGGGUUGUAAAGCUCUGUUUAUCGGGACGCGGUACCGGAAUAGAAAGCCACGGCUAACUACGUGCCAGCAGCCGCGGUAAUUC
rnacentral:rRNA from 1 species